rnacentral:rRNA from 1 species
UACGGAGGAUCCAAGCGUUAUCCGGAAUCAUUGGGUUUAAAGGGUCCGUAGGCGGUUUUAUAAGUCAGUGGUGAAAUCUGGUCGCUCAACGAUCAAACGGCCAUUGAUACUGUAGAACUUGAAUUAUUAGGAAGUAACUAGAAUAUGUAGUGUAGCGGUGAAAUGCUUAGAGAUUACAUGGAAUACCAAUUGCGAAGGCAGGUUACUACUAAUUGAUUGACGCUGAUGGACGAAAGCGUGGGUAGCGAACAGG